rnacentral:rRNA from 1 species
UGGACCUGAUAUCAGGCA